GGGGGCGACAGGCUUCGACAGGGGCUUGUAUAGAUCUUUGAAUGCACGUCGGGCUUGCAAGGUUAGCUCGUUAAAAAAACUCUGCAAAACACAAAUGCUAAUCAAGAAUUAGCCCUUGCUGCCUAAUUAACUUUAGCUCCAGCAAUGUCUUACCGGAAGUCCGCCUGAUGCGACCGACUAAGGCAUAACUCAGUUCAGGCUCGGGCGCGUUCACCACCUGCGAACACGCUUUAAAGUUAGUCAGGUUAGCCUAUCAGAAGGUCUUGUCUGUUCAUCUGCUUCUGAAAGGCGAAAAUUAAGUGAAUAGACUAAGCGUGUAGAUUUCACUGGUCGCAACCUUUGGAUGCGGGUUCGAUUCCCGCCGCCUCCACCA
rnacentral:tmRNA from 1 species